rnacentral:rRNA from 1 species
AGGACGAACGCUGGCGGCGUGCUUAACACAUGCAAGUCGAGCGGUAAGGCCUUUCGGGGUACACGAGCGGCGAACGGGUGAGUAACACGUGGGUGAUCUGCCCUGCACUUCGGGAUAAGCCUGGGAAACUGGGUCUAAUACCGGAUAUGACUUCAGGUUGCAUGACUUGGGGGUGGAAAGAUUUAUCGGUGCAGGGAGUCGGGCCCGCGGCCUAUCAGUCGUUUGGUUGGGUAGGGGUAAUCGGACCGUACCGAAGG